AAAGUCUGAACCGUUGACUGGCCGGCCUGUCAGGAAAUGUUUGACCACUCUUGCCGUGGAGCUUUAGGAAAAGGUGCAUUUGGCCCUGCCCCACGACCUCCCUGAGGUUUUCCUGGCUCCUUGCAGAUGACUCUCAUUUGCUUGAAAAUCUGUUUUGAGCUUUUUUUCAUGCCAGGCAACAUGUCAGGUCUGAGGGCUACAGCUGUGGAAAGUCAUAGACAGAUCCUGUCACCGGAGCUCAGGGGCCAGCAGAAGAGCAGGAAUCAAUUAGCAUUAAAGAAAUGCUAGCAUUGCUUGGCCUUGCAUCACAGACCAGGAUCCCUGCCACUGAGGCAGGAGAAUUACAACUUCAAUUGCAAGUUGUCUGGGCACCUCAGGGAGACUCCCUCUCAAAAUAACAGACUUUGAAUACAGCAUUGUGACUCACUGAGAACAGUCUAAUCUGCUUUACGUUGAGCCCGCUCGGUGUCCAGCUCUACCUCGCUGUAAAAACAAGCAAAUGUGAGCGCUUGUCUCUUCAUCGAGUGCAGGCUGAUGGGAACCAGGACCCAGUCAUUAAAGACCUGGAUGUUUUGCCUCAUCAGAAGAAGUUUGAUGAUGGGAUUCAGCUAAUUUCCGGAGCUGGAGGGAAGACUCAGAAACAACACGUGCGUAUGUGCAGGCUGUGCACACGCAACACGGAGAAGACCGACCGUAGUAACACCGCCUCAAGACAGGGUUUCAACAUCAUCUUUCCAAGAAGAAAAUGUCAUUCACAUUUCCACCCGGACUCAGCGUCCUCCAACAAGGUCUUUCCGACAUGUGUGUCACUACCUGGUUCUUAUAAACAUCCCCUUGAAGAGGGGGAAGGUCAUCCUAACGUCCAUCGGCAAAAGCAAGAGGGCUUUAGUGAAGCCUGUCUCAUUGGUGAUAUAUUUUAGAAACCUCCCAGUAACGGGCCUUUUUGUUACUCAAGUAAAAUGUUUUUGGAACAUGGAGACACAAAAUAAAAUACAUACUCUCUGGAUAUGUUCACACACGAAAUUUCUGGACUUGAGAGAGCAGUAAUAUUUUGCUAAAAGUCACUGUGGAGAGGGUCAACAGGGCAGAUAACAGAGAGACAGGUCCCUGCUGAGGUGGAAUUUCCACACAGCCUCACCCCUGUUUGUCCCUAAAUAUACCCUGUUGUUACUUGGCCUGGAAAUUUUAGAUGUAACCACACUGGGGGAUCAGCUUUGCUUUCCCAAAGUCAAAAGCAUCACGAAGAAUGGUAUCACCAUUCAAUAUCAUGAAAGAAUCAUGAAGAGUGUCAUUGUAAUUAAGCCAAUAAUUGUAAUGUUCCUCAGACGCUGCAGUACAAUAUAAAAGCAUGGAGGUGGAAGACAGAGGUGGAAAAAGAAGUACAGAGAAUUAUAGACAAGAGUUAAAUGUUGAUGAAUAGAGAUUGGUACUGUCCAGCUCAGAUGUCCUCCAGGAAGAAAGAAAGUACUUCCUGAAGGCAUAGGGAGACUAGGAAAGAACAAAAAACCCCCUAAGUAGAGGGGCCAUCACAAGUUUCUGAGCACCUCUGAGCUACAUCAGGAGAGGGUGAGGGAAUAGACAAAUCCACACUCUCGGGCAGUACCCCUGAAUCACAAAUCCCUUCUCCUGCUGUCCCCAUAACCCUUGAAUGUCCAGGAACCACAUCGAAACAGUGGCAUUUCUGGGAUUGGGAAGGUAGCUAAAUUUGUAGAGUGUUUGCCUAGUCUGGAGGAGUCCCAGGAUUCACUUCCUGACACUGCAUAAAACUAGGUUUGGUGGUACAAGCCUAUAAUCCCAGCCUUGUAAAAUGAAGGUAGGAGACUCAGAAGUUCAAGCUCGUGCUCAGCUCUCUAGUGAACUCAAGGCCAACCUGGAUUACAUCAGACCCUGUCUCAGACAAAUCAGCAACAAGACAAACAAAGGUGGAAUUUGUUUCUCCAGUCUGAAGUACCAGAUCUGGCUAACAUGCCAGGUGACAAGAGAUAGAGGCAGGACAGAGAACUCAAAGACAUGAGCAGAAUUGUACCUGCUCUUCCAAGCAUUUUGUCUGUCAUGGGGUAAUCUGUGGUACUCUGUCAUUGUUCCUUUUAAGUGUAGGUCUAUCUUUGAGAUAUUUAAUUUAUGCAACUUGUAUUACUAUGGCUUUGUUGUAUAUUUUAAUAUCCAAAAGGGCCCUUAAUUUUCCUUGUGUUUUCUUUUUAAUAUUGACUUGGCUAUUGUGAUAAAGGCUUUUGCUGAA